AAAUGUAAUAGCUUUAGCAACAAAAAUAGACGUCGCUAAAAGUCCUAAAAAAUUUCCCCCUUUUAUUUCCCUCCUCUUUUUCAUUAAACAAUUUUAAUUAAAAAACCCUUUCCCUCUUCCCAUUACCCAACCCGAAAGCUCUCCAUCUCCACCUCCUCUCCUCCCAUCUCUACCCAAAAGUUCUCCAUCGCCGAACCACCCAUCUGUACGAACUAAGGAGGCCGACGAUGAAGUACGAUGACGCUUCUACGACCGAACGAACUGCACGAUGCUUCUACGGCCACGCUAGACGAACCACGCCGAACGAACCACCCGAAACACGCCAUUUCCAACUGUACGAACCACCCGACGGCCAUCAACCUCGAACGGUCCCAAAAGCUGCUUCACGCGAACAGCCCUAUGAUUCUGCUCUAACUUCCUUAAACACUUCUGCUCCACGCCCAAGACAUUCUGUGAUCCAGAGGAUAGACCAAGACCAAGGCCAAUUUUAGCAAGGACACCAAAAGAAGUCUUUGCAGACACAGGAGUAAAGCCAACGUUGACUCCUAACUUGAAUACCCUAGCUCUAAUUGAGGAAGGAGGAAUCUUUCAAGCGAUGAUUGUGUAAUGCUAUUAAAAGAAAGGUAAACUAUUUUGUUUUUCUCCUCUUACAAUUCAACAUUUAUAUGGGAGAAUCAGACCAUUGAGUGUGCUAUGAGAUUAAGAGUUGCUUUAUAUAUUGCUAAAGCAUUAGACUAUUGUAGCUCUCAGAAACAUCCAUUGUACCACGACUUGAAUGCGUACUGUGUGUAUUUGGAUAUACUUCAUUUUAUAUUGGCUUAAUUUUUAAUACUUUAUAUUUUGGUAAUUUGCUUCAAUACUC